ACAGAAACAGAGAGGUUAGACGGUACUGUGGGUCAGGUAGGUUGAGAAGACAGAAACAGAGAGGUUAGACGGUACUGUGGGUCAGGUGGGUUGAGAAGACAGAGAGGUUAGACGGUACUGUGGGUCAGGUAGGUAGAGAAGACAGAGAGGUUAGACGGUACUGUGGAUCAGGUAGGUUGAGAAGACAGAGAGGUUAGACGGUACUGUGGAUCAGGUAGGUUGAGAAGACAGAGAGGUUAGACAGAAACAGAGAGUUUAGACGGUACUGUGGGUCAGGUAGGUAGAGAAGACAGAGAGGUUAGACGGUACUGUGGGUCAGGUUGGUAGAGAAGACAGAAACAGAGAGGUUAGACGGUACUGUGGAUCAGGUAGGUAGAGAAGACAGAGAGGUUAGACGGUACUGUGGGUCAGGUAGGUAGAGAAGACAGAAACAGAGAGGUUAGACGGUACUGUGGGUCAGGUAGGUAGAGAAGACAGAGAGGUUAGACGGUACUGUGGGUCAGGUAGGUAGAGAAGACAGAAACAGAGAGGUUAGACGGUACUGUGGGUCAGGUAGGUUGAGAAGACAGAAACAGAGAGGUUAGACGGUACUGUGGGUCAGGUGGAUUGAGAAAACAGAAACAGAGAG